UAAGAAUGACUUUAAUAGGAUAAUUCAGUCCCAGCUAUUUUGUCUGCAUAUCAACUGAAAUUAUGUCCACUUAGAAGAAAAAAACUCACAAUACUAUCUUUUUACUGCGAUUCCACUAGACUAAGUCUAAAUUCAGAGAGAAAAUGUAGGUUGUCACAAAAUAUGAAGUCGACUUAAAACGCGGUGGUGGGUGCAUUUUUUGCGCCCGGGGCCAGUCACCAGUUUGAAUGUGGUUGUGCUGCAAUACCAUACGUACCCUUGCAGGCACUCUGGGCUGCACACAUUCAAGAGGUAUAAUUUUAAUUGGUUUAAUAUUUGAUGUGUUCAUUUAGUACUAACAUGGAGACAGUGCAGGCUGAGAGAGAGGAAAUAAUACUGGGUAAAUUCUGCAUUGCUCAACUAAAAAUGACUUGCUUGUUGAAAGGUGCAUUUUUCUGAGGCGUAAAUUGAAAAGAAUGGAUUGGAGAGACAUCGAGCUGUAGUUUUGUUUUUUUGUUUUUUUUCAUGCACGACUGUGUGUGGGUUUUGUUGUGUUCAGAUAUUUCCAUCUUGCGACUGCUUUGCUUGUAUCUAGUUAUAUUUCAUAAUUUGACGAUAAGAAUGACUGGGAGUCCAAUUCAGUAGAAUCAAUAAAACCCGAAAACCCGUCCCCCUCGAGACUAGAGCUUAGAUCGGUCCUAAAAAAUCGAGCCCGACCCGAACCGGCCCGAGGGUAUUUAAGCCCGACCUGGCCCGAGCCCGAUCACUUAGCUUGAUUUGCAGGCCCGAGCCUGAAGCAAACCCGACAUUUCAUAUUUUAUUUGUGAGGACUCGGGAGUAGAAGGGGUGAUUUCUGAUAACAAAGCCUGUCUUUUGGAACGAAAUCUAAGUUAAACAUGACUGUAUAAACAUUUACAUCUUUCAUAUUUCUGUUUCUGAAGAGGUUACAUUAACCGACAAUUUUUUAUAAUUGACGGAUUUUUUUUAAGAGUGGACGGGGAAAAUUUAAGGCCGUCCGUCAUUCUGAUGGGUUGAAAAUUGGGCCGCAAACCACCUCAGCAUUACGUCCUUAAGAAUCUAGUGCGAUACUA